rnacentral:rRNA from 1 species
CACGUAGGGCGCAAGCGUUGUCCGGAAUUAUUGGGCGUAAAGAGCUCGUAGGUGGUUUGUUACGUCUGCUGUGAAAACCUAGGGCUUAACCCUGGGCUUGCAGUGGAUACGGGCAGACUAGAGGUAGGUAGGGGAGAAUGGAAUUCCUGGUGUAGCGGUGAAAUGCGUAGAUAUCUGGAGGAAUACCGGUGGCGAAGGCGGCAUCCUGGACCAUUACUGACGCUGAGGCGCGAAAGCUAGGGGAGCAAACGGGG